rnacentral:rRNA from 1 species
AACGUAGGACACAAGCGUUAUCCGGAGUUACUGGGCGUAAAGGGCGUGUAGGUGGUUUCGUAAGUCUGGCGUGAAAUUUUUCGGCUUAACCGGGAAAGGUCGUCGGAUACUGCGGAACUAGAGGACGGUAGAGGCGUGUGGAAUUCCGGGUGUAGUGGUGAAAUGCGUAGAGAUCCGGAGGAACACCAGUGGCGAAGGCGACACGCUGGGCCGUACCUGACACUGAUGCGCGACAGCAUGGGGAGCAAACAGG